rnacentral:rRNA from 1 species
UAGGGAAUAUUGGGCAAUGGAGGCCACUCUGACCCAGCCAUGCCGCGUGCAGGAAGAAGGCGCUCAGCGUUGUAAACUGCUUUUAUCGGGGAAGAAACGACCCUUGCGAGGGGCAUUGACGGUACCCGAUGAAUAAGCACCGGCUAACUCCGUGCCAGCAGCCGCGGUAAUACGGAGGGUGCAAGCGUUGUCCGGAUUUAUUGGGUUUAAAGGGUGCGCAGGCGGGAAGGUUAGUUCGUGUUGAAAGACGAUCGCUCAACGAUUGCAGUGCCAUGAAUACUGCCUUUCUUGAAUCUGGUUGAGGCCGGUGGAAUUGACCGUGUAGCGGUGAAAUGCAUAGAUAUGGUCAAGAACUCCAAUUGCGAAGGCAG